UGGGGAAUAUUGGACAAUGGGCGAAAGCCUGAUCCAGCCAUGCCGCGUGUGUGAAGAAGGUCUUCGGAUUGUAAAGCACUUUAAGUUGGGAGGAAGGGCAGUAAGCGAAUACCUUGCUGUUUUGACGUUACCGACAGAAUAAGCACCGGCUAACUCUGUGCCAGCAGCCGCGGUACUACAGAGGGUGCAAGCGUUACUCGGAAUUACUGGGCGUAAAGCGCGCGUAGGUGGUUCGUUAAGUUGAAUGUGAAAGCCCCGGGCUCAACCUGGGAACUGCAUCCAAAGCUGGCGGGCUAGAGUAGGGCAGAGGGUGGUGGAAUUUCCUGUGUAGCGGUGAAAUGCGUCGAUAUAGGAAGGAACAACAGUGGCGAAGGCGACCACCUGGGCUCAUACUGACACUGAGGUGGGAAAGAGUGGGGAGCAAACAAG
rnacentral:rRNA from 1 species